rnacentral:rRNA from 1 species
UACGUAGGCAGCAAGCGUUGUUCGGAAUUACUGGGCGUAAAGAGUGUGUAGGCGGUGCUCUAAGUUCGGUGUGAAAUCUCCCGGCUCAACUGGGAGGGUGCGCCGGAAACUGUGGUGCUGGAGUGUGGGAGAGGUAGGCGGAAUUCCUGGUGUAGCGGUGAAAUGCGUAGAUAUCAGGAGGAACACCUGUGGUGUAGACGGCUUACUGGACCAUGACUGACGCUGAGGCACGAAAGCGUGGGGAGCAAACAGG